CCUACGGGAGGCAGCAGUGAGGAAUAUUUGUCAAUGGCCGUAAGGCUGAACCAGCCAAGUCGCGUGAAGGAAGAAGGAUCUAUGGUUUGUAAACUUCUUUUAUAGGGGAAUAAAGGUAUCCACGUGUGGCUAUUUGCAUGUACCCUAUGAAUAAGCAUCGGCUAACUCCGUGCCAGCAGCCGCGGUAAUCCGGAGGAUGCGAGCGUUAUCCGGAUUUAUUGGGUUUAAAGGGUGCGUAGGUUGUGUGUUAAGUCAUCGGUGAAAGUUUGUGGCUCAACCAUAAAAUUGCCGUUGAAACUGGAAGACUUGAGUGUGUUUGAGGUAGGCGGAAUGCGUGGUGUAGCGGUGAAAUGCAUAGAUAUCACGCAGAACUCCGAUUGCGAAGGCAGCUUACUAAGCCAUAACUGACACUGAAGCACGAAAGCGUGGGGAUCAAACAGGAUUAGAUACCCGGGUAGUC
rnacentral:rRNA from 1 species